rnacentral:rRNA from 1 species
CUCCCUGAUGUUAGCGGCGGACGGGUGAGUAACACGUGGGUAACCUGCCUGUAAGACUGGGAUAACUCCGGGAAACCGGGGCUAAUACCGGAUGGUUGUUUGAACCGCAUGGUUCAAACAUAAAAGGUGGCUUCGGCUACCACUUACAGAUGGACCCGCGGCGCAUUAGCUAGUUGGUGAGGUAACGGCUCACCAAGGCGACGAUGCGUAGCCGACCUGAGAGGGUGAUCGGCCACACUGGGACUGAGACACGGCCCAGACUCCUACGGGAGGCAGCAGUAGGGAAUCUUCCGCAAUGGACGAAAGUCUGACGGAGCAACGCCGCGUGAGUGAUGAAGGUUUUCGGAUCGUAAAGCUCUGUUGUUAGGGAAGAACAAGUACCGUUCGAAUAGGGCGGUACCUUGACGGUACCUAACCAGAAAGCCACGGCUAACUACGUGCCAGCAGCCGCGGUAAUACGUAGGUGGCAAGCGUUGUCCGGAAUUAUUGGGCGUAAAGGGCUCGCAGGCGGUUUCUUAAGUCUGAUGUGAAAGCCCCCGGCUCAACCGGGGAGGGUCAUUGGAAACUGGGGAACUUGAGUGCAGAAGAGGAGAGUGGAAUUCCACGUGUAGCGGUGAAAUGCGUAGAGAUGUGGAGGAACACCAGUGGCGAAGGCGACUCUCUGGUCU